AGAAGGAACGGUAGAGAGACUGAAAAGGGACCAAGCAGUUCACUACGCUGUCACAGCACACUAAGACCUGGAACACUAAAAUUGAAUUGUGUGAGAGGUUUGCCUUGGUUUUUGGUUUUUCAGGGAAGAGGAAAGUCUCAUUUCUAGAAAUGGCAAAGUUGAUGAAUCUUAUAUGCAUACCAGCAAUCACUACUGCGUGCCCGCAGUACUCAACUGGUGCUAAGUGAAAACCUCUGCUACUAGGUAUUGUAGAAUGUGAAAUAAAGGAGAUUGAAGAGCUUCUAAAAGAAGACAGAGACCUAGAGGGAUUUUUGUAUCAUAGCUUAAGCAGAUUUAAAAUGAAAGCCUUAGACUGAUUUUCAAUUAUCUUUCUUGAAAUAAGCUAAUGGCUUGUUUGUUUAAAGCUUUUUUAUUAAAACAAAUUUUUUUAAAAAUCUUGUACCUAGCACAGUAUUGUUAUAGAAUUACAUGUAACAUAUUUUGUAUGGUAGGUAAAGUCUGUCUAAAUUUCUUAAUUGUGGACAAAACAGCAGCAGGCCUCUGGCCUUCUGCUGUAACAUGCCUGUGUCUCUCACUUAGCCUUGACAUCUGUGCAUACAUUUCAGUUUCAGCUCUACUCUGUCACUUGAAAGGUCACACCCAGCAUGAGCUUUCGUCAGGUAGUUCUAAACCUGUAAAUUUUUUUUUUUUUAGUUGAAGUUAAGAGGGAAGUACCAGUGUUCAGAAUGAACUAUAAUAGUUUGUAUAUUCAACAUUUGAAGUAUAUUCUAUUUUGUUGUACUCUUGUUUCAAAGUGUAUUCAAGUAGGUUUUACUGAAAUAUAGAAAUGAAAUUUGUUUUGUCUGCCUUCUGUUUUUAACUUUUUCCUUUCAGCUGUUUGGUUCCUUUUCUGCUUACUUGAAAUCAUCUGGGCAUUCAGCCUCACGUAGCUGGGAUAGUGCGGUAACAUGGAGCUCCCCAGCACUCUGACACUCCACAUGGCUGGCGGCUCUCCCACACAGUGCGCCGAAAUAGGUUUCGUUGAAGUAUUUGAGAAGCUUGCAGUAGCUGACUUCUGACAGGGGUCUCGUUCUCUAAAGCUUUUUUGGCAUGGUCAGCAAUACUCAGUGUUCUUCCACUGUGGCUGAUUGGACGAGUACUGGAGUGGAGUAACUCGAGUAGCUAGGAAGGUACUGCCCUGCAGUUCAUAACUUUCUGUGUGCUCCCAUUUGCUGUAAAGCAAAGAAAACUGGGUUUGCUGAAAUGGCUCUGAGAACCAGUGUCUCGUGAAGCUCUGUGGACGACUUACAGCUCCUCCAGUAAUUCUUUCAUUUUCUAAGGCUGCACUGCAAAGUAAAAAGGGGCAAGUGAGCAGACUUCGCUACUGGAGUGUACUGAUCUCUCUGAGUGUCUCAUAAACGCAAGUAGAAAACACUGGUGUUUCAUAAGCAACAACCGGAGCUGCCUGUUGUGAGGAGCCAGCCCUGCUAGGCAUCAUUAGUGGCUCCUCAGGGAGGAACACGUGCAGCCUGGGGUGCAGUCCUGAGGUUCCAGUGUAGAUCUAGGUUCUGAAGAUAAAUAAAAGGAAGUCUUUCAAAAUGAAGAUUGGCCUUUUACUGAAACUGCAAGAUGGACAAGGAUAUCAAUUUAAACCAUUUAUAAAGGUAAUACUUGAAGCAGACAAGAAAACACUCCUUGUUAGGUGUGUAUUCUGGAGGGAAGCACAGCAUGUUCACCUACAGAGCAUCUGUGUGAUGGACUCAUGCGCAUUCGUUGGAAAAGUGAGGAUGUCACUACAGGAUGUGCUGCAGUUAGCCCCUGUUUCCUCAUUCGCUGGAGGGGGCCUUGCUUACACUGUGCUGUUACCCCUUCAAUUUCAAUAUAGUCUUCCUCUUAAGUCGUGUGGAAAUAAGAAGGCUACGCCAAUAUGAUGUUAGAUUUGUUCAUGUCUACACCUUGUUUAGCUUCCUUCAUCUGCAACAGAAAAGGACUUAACAGAAUCUGAGAAGUCAAGCUUUGUUCCCUUUGGUACCGGCACAAGCUUAACAUCAAAUAAACAAAAUUAGCAUGCUGCCAGGGCAAA